rnacentral:rRNA from 1 species
GAUGAACGCUGGCGGCGUGCCUAAUACAUGCAAGUCGAGCGAACGGACGAGAAGCUUGCUUCUCUGAUGUUAGCGGCGGACGGGUGAGUAACACGUGGAUAACCUACCUAUAAGACUGGGAUAACUUCGGGAAACCGGAGCUAAUACCGGAUAAUAUUUUGAACCGCAUGGUUCAACAGUGAAAGACGUUCUUGCUGUCACUUAUAGAUGGAUCCGCGCUGCAUUAGCUAGUUGGUAAGGUAACGGCUUACCAAGGCAACGAUGCAUAGCCGACCUGAGAGGAUGAUCGGCCACACUGGAACUGAGACACGGUCCAGACUCCUACGGGAGGCAGCAGUAGGGAAUCUUGCGCAAUGGGCGAAAGCCUGACGGAGCAACGCCGCGUGAGUGAUGAAGGUCUUCGGAUCGUAAAACUCUGUUAGUAGGGAAGAACAGAUGUGUAAGUAACUGUGCACAUCUUGACGGUACCUAAUCAGAAAGCCACGGCUAACUACGUG